rnacentral:lncRNA from 1 species
GGUGUUCCCCUCUCGUGGCCUCAGCUCCCUCUGUGUAAAAUGGGAUGAUGGUCGAAUUGACCUGUCGCUUUCUGGAGUUAUUUCACAAAGAAGUGAUAAUGCUCCAUGCCAGCAGCCCUUAGCAUGUCCAGCACCAGCUGCAGAGGUCGAGAGCUUUCACAGGCAGCGAAGGAGGAGAGCAGCAGGCCCAUGCAAAUCCACCCCAGUCUCCCGCCACGUCCUUCAUGCCAUCGCCCUUCCAGGACCAUGGUGCCCCUGUGCCUCUCCAGCCUUCCUCUCAUGUCUGCAGGGAGUGUGGAGGUGAGAAAUGCUCCCAAGAAGUUGGAGGAGAAUCCCUGGCCUCCCCGGAGCUGGCUGGGAUGAGGAAGCAGUGCACGGACCAUCACUAAGAGAGAUGGAGGCACUGAAGGAGGUCUUCAAGGAGUGUUUCAUUGAGCUGAUUUUCUUGCAACAACUUCCAGGGAAGAUGAUGGAUUUCUUAGCUUCUAAGAAGGAACAUUAUGACUCCAUCACAGCUCAUCUUAGAAUGAUUUGGACCUUAAGGAAGAGGGGGAGGAGGAGCAGUCUGAAGUUAUUAGCAAUGAGGUGAAAACUCUCAUGUUUAAUUACUUGUCAUGGAAAUGGAUAUCAUGGCUUAUACCACCACAAGUCAAAUUCAGAGUUGCAUCAUCUUAGAGCAGGUGUUCUAGACAUUUUACUUUUACACCAAAACACUGUUAUAGUGACUUGACAGCUGUCUCAGAGAUGUGCUGAGGCCCUCCCCAUUCAUGAAGGCUGGUUUGGGGACCCUGCACAUAGCUGAGUCUGCUAGCAUCUACCCGUAAGCUGCUUGCCCUUCCUUCUAACUGUCCCUCCAGGCCUUCCCAUUGCUUUUCCAGGCUGUGCUGCUCAGAGUGGUGGUGCCCACAGCCCCCCUGCCAUGCCCAGUGGGCAGGACUGGCCAGUAUCUGAAGCUGAGAAUCCUGAACAUGCACAUCUUGGUGUUAGAGUCUCUGUGUAAGUUACAGGUCUAACUUAGAUCAAAAUACGUAAGGCACAAUUGACAGAAUUUAAGGAGGAAAUUCCAAAAUCCACAAUUAUAUGAUGAGAUUUUAACAUUUCUCUCAGAAAACAACAAAUCAGGAAAUAACAUAGUUACAAGGAUAUAGAACAUGUGAAGAACACAAAGUAACAACAUAAAUUAUCCUGUUUGACUACAUAUGUAUAGAAAUAUGUACAUAUGUAUGUGUGUGUGUAAAAACUUUCACUCAACAAAGUGAAAUAAUUCUUUUAAAGGAUACAUGGAAAUUUUUUGUAUAUCAACCCCAAAGGAAACUUCAAUAAGAUUUUAAACAUCAACCCCAUAUGGACUAUUCUUUGCGUUCAAUGAAUAAAAUUAGAAAUCAAUUAUUAUUAUCAAAUUAUGUUUGGAAACUAAGAAAAUUACUUCUGAUGAAUUCAUGGGUUGAAGAGAAUAUCCUCAUGGAAAUCAUGGAAUAUUCUGAAGUAGAUGACAGCAGGAGUGCUGCAUCCUCCAGACCUUGUGGGAGAAGCUGAGGGUCCACUCAGAAAGUCAAUUAUGUGAGAAACAAGAAACAUGGAAGAUGAACGUUCUGAAAGCUUUGAUGGUCAGACUCAUA